AGUGAACGCUGGCGGUAGGCCUAACACAUGCAAGUCGAACGGCAGCACAGAGGAGCUUGCUCCUUGGGUGGCGAGUGGCGGACGGGUGAGGAAUACAUCGGAAUCUACUCUGUCGUGGGGGAUAACGUAGGGAAACUUACGCUAAUACCGCAUACGACCUACGGGUGAAAGCAGGGGAUCUUCGGACCUUGCGCGACUGAAUGAGCCGAUGUCGGAUUAGCUAGUUGGCGGGGUAAAGGCACACCAAGGCGACGCUCCGUAGCUGGUCUGAGGGGAUGAUCAGCCUCGCUAGAACUGAGACACGGUCCAGACUCCUACGGGAGGCAGGAGUGGGGAAUAUUGGACAAUGGGCGCAAGCCUGAUCCAGCCAUACCGCGUGGGUGAAGAAGGCCUUCGGGUUGUAAAGCCCUUUUGUUGGGAAAGAAAUCCAUCUGGUUAAUACCCGGGUGGGAUGACGGUACCCAAAGAAUAAGCACCGGCUAACUUCGUGCCAGCCGCCGCCGUAA
rnacentral:rRNA from 1 species